AGGUGGCACAGUCAUGCCUAGCGACUGAAGCGGCAGCUCUCCGGGCAGGAGACGUGUGUUAGGCUCCCCUCUAAGCAGGGUAGCACUCAUGCUUCUGCAGAGGGUCUUAGCUUCAUCCCGCUUUCUGGACCUCUGGCACCAACUCACCCCUGCAUAGCACUUGUCCGACAGCAGCGCUUGGAAAGGGAGUCAACAGCUCUGACUCAGCCUGGGCCCUGCUGCUUCUCUAUGGGCCCAUUGUAAGAAUUCUGAAGAGGAAAAAGUGUCAUCGGGCCAAGAGCAGAGAACACCAGCAGGGCUGUAUGAAUCGGAUGGCCUCUGUCCUUGAAGAUUCUCAAGAACCUACUUCCUGGUAGAUCCCACUCACCAGAAUCAAAGCUGAGAAGAUCCCAUCAUCUGUUUCUGAGCCAUCUUUGCAACCAGGACUGGGACCCAUGAUUCGGGCUCUGCCAAUCAGAUGUUGUUCCCACCAAUAUUUUGAAUCAGAAGCUCAUGGAGGGAAGAAGCAGAGAUGUAAAGACUCCAGUUAUCAAUGAGUGACGGCCGUGGUGGUGGUAGCAAUUAUAUCUGGUUUCCAGAGGCAGUCAUGGCCUAUGAUAACUUCAUGGCAUCUUCCCUGGACCAGUUCUGCAGUAUGAUCUUCAAGCACUGUUCCCGGUAGCAGAGCCAAACGGCAAAGAUCUCUAGCCAGCCUUCUGUGGGCUCCCCGUAUCUUUUAAAUCAACUCCAUCUUGCUUCAAUCUUCCAGAAUCAGUUUUGGAUGCUUGCAACUGAAAAUCCAGGCUGAUGUGAGGACUGGAAGACCAAUGUUAGAACUGAGAACUACAGCAGGCUGGUGAGUCAACCGUUCCUAGCAGGUGGGGGGCCUCUUCUUCUGGCAAACUAUGUGGAAAUGGUGGGAAUCUCUGUCCCAAGAGGCAUGGACGCCAGUGCCGGAAGUUUCAGGCUGUACAACAGCUGGUGAAAGAGACAUCCGGGAUCUAAAUGUAAGUCAGCUUCAGAGUGGACAUGGUUGGUCAGGAGAUAUGAAAUGAUCAGCUAACAAUUUACACUUUCACGGAAUCCCUUUUCCCUGAAGGAGGAUUUGAAAACGUUAAUCCCCAGAUAAGAAAUCUGGGGCCCCAGAGGUGAAGGGAGCCACAACAAGGGGUUGAGAAUUUCCCCUCCUCUGUUCUCGUCUGACUUGCUUGCCAAGUCAUCCUGACGGUAAAGUGAGAAAGGGCCCUUGGUUGGCAAAGAAAGAGAAGUAUUGUAAAAAGACAACUGUUUUCAUGUGUAUUCACUGCCUCGUUUGACUGGGGCACACUUCCAUGAAGCAGAGAGGCUAAUUGCCCUUCCCUUUUUUGAAUUUGGAAGCUAAGUCUCAGAGAGGUUGACCCAUCUGACGGGGACACGAGCCGUCUGACUAAACCCUACCUCCUUUCCCCAGGGACACUGUCAAGGAGAUGGGCAGUAAGGGGGUCCAGAGACACCAGAUCAGAGAGCUAAAGUCAGCACUCCUCACGUUUGGCAUCUUCCUUUCUCUGGCAGUGCCAACAUCACCUUCUCCCUCUUUUUAGGCCCCUAUCUUACUCUUUUCAUACUGCCUCAGUUUCCCAGGGCGUCCACAGCCAUGCUAUGCUUGAGCCUGCUGUAAGAUCACUGCCCAAAGACACAGCCAGCUCCCUCCUCCCUGCCCAUCAGAUCUGACUAGUCUCAGGUCCUCUCUUCCUGUGCUUUGCUCUAAAUAAAUUUUACACUUUCUUACUCCAAACCCGGUUCUCUUUCGGCA